UUUAGUGGCGGACGGGUGAGUAACACGUGAGCAACCUACCUUUCAGAGGGGGAUAACAGUUGGAAACGACUGCUAAUACCGCAUAACGUUGUAAAAGGGCAUCCAUUUACAACCAAAAGAGAAAUCUGCUGAAAGAUGGGCUCGCGGCCGAUUAGAUAGUAGGCGGGGUAACGGCCCACCUAGUCAACGAUCGGUAGCCGGACUGAGAGGUUGAACGGCCACAUUGGGACUGAGACACGGCCCAGACUCCUACGGGAGGCAGCAG
rnacentral:rRNA from 1 species